GCACAAUGGGGGAAACCCUGAUGCAGCCAUGCCGCGUGUGUGAAGAAGGCCUUCGGGUUGUAAAGCACUUUCAGUAGGGAGGAAGGUAGUGUAGUUAACACCUGCAUUAUUUGACGUUACCUACAGAAGAAGCACCGGCAACUCCGUGCCAGCAGCCGCGGUAAUACGGAGGGUGCGAGCGUUAAUCGGAAUUACUGGGCGUAAAGCGCAUGCAGGCGGCCUGUUAAGUCAGAUGUGAAAGCCCGGGGCUUAACCUCGGAAUUGCAUUUGAAACUGGCAGGCUAGAGUCUUGUAGAGGGGGUAGAAUUUCAGGUGUAGCGGUGAAAUGCGUAGAGAUCUGAAGGAAUACCAGUGGCGAAGGCGGCCCCCUGGACAAAGACUGACGCUCAGAUGCGAAAGCGUGGGGAGCAAACAGGAUUAGAUACCUGGUAG
rnacentral:rRNA from 1 species